UCCCCCCUGUUAGCGACAUAGCGUGAGGGAGGGAGUUGUUCUCCCAUUUUCGUUGCUGCACCUGGUCGUUCUAAAUGCAAAGAAUCAACCUCAAUUUAAUUAGUGAGUGUGGGUGUGAUUGUGUUUUGUGUGCAGCUGGAACGAGAGUCGGAGAAAAUUGGAGAAAGGUAAUAGCUAGAAAUAAAGAUAUAAGUUGAGUUCUUUCAGCCAUCAAAUGUUAUCCUCUUGUGCUCCAGGUUCUUAGAUCUAGAAAUAAGAGGGAGAGAGAGAAGAAGAAAAAGAAAUGAAGAAGCACCGGCUGUCGCCGAUGGACCCAUUGGAAUUUCACCGGAAGACAUCUAGGUGAGAGUUUGAUGUGUGGAGUUAAGCCGGCAGUGAAUCACAAGCUUCGAUGAGAAACUGAUGGUUCAAUGCAUUUCCGAUGGGACCGCUGAUCAUUUCUUCAGCUAUUCCUAGCAGCAAAGUCGUCCUGUCCAUGUAUACUUUCCGAUGAACAAGGUGUAAGGUAGAGCUACUUAUCGAAAUCUCCAGUGGGCUUAUCACAACAAAGAUUAAAUAGAUGAAGCAGUGGGGAAAAAGAAAAGGGGUAGCUAUGAGAAUCAUGUAUAGCUUAAACCCUGUUUGGAGUUUUGAGUGAUUGUUGGGGCUAGUUGGCAUCGACGGGGAUAAGGGCAUCGCUGGAAACGAAGAGGACUCCGCCAGAGCUGAGUAUCGUUGGAGUUAGGAAGCUCAACGGAGAAGUAGGGGGCGUUGGCCUCCUGGCGGCUGGUUAUGAUGUGGAGGAGAUCGGGAAUUUGUCAUCUAGCAGUUGGGGUCGAGUCUGCGGGACUUCAGCAGUGUGGGAUUGAGUCUGCGAGACUUCAGCGUUAUGAGGUACUUCCGCAAGUAAAGGGAAGAGCUCGGGAUGAUGACAUCGCACACACCACAGCUUCAACAUUUUAUCCUGGGAUUUUUGUUCAGAUACUUAGAUAUGAUUUGAUACAGUUUUUGAUACGACUCUUUUAUUAUGGUUUUUGAUAUAUUGACGUAUGGUUUUAUUCUAUGAUAUUCGUCGUUAUGAUUUUUAGUAUUA